rnacentral:rRNA from 1 species
UACGUAGGGUGCAAGCGUUAAUCGGAAUUACUGGGCGUAAAGCGUGCGCAGGCGGUUAUGUUAGACAGAUGUGAAAUGCCCGGGCUUAACCUGGGAACUGCAUUUGUGACUGCAUGGCUAGAGUUUGGCAGAGGGGGGUAGAAUUCCACGUGUAGCAGUGAAAUGCGUAGAUAUGUGGAGGAACACCGAUGGCGAAGGCAGCCCCCUGGGUCAAGACUGACGCUCAUGCACGAAAGCGUGGGGAGCAAACAGG